UGGGGAAUAUUGCACAAUGGGCGAAAGCCUGAUGCAGCAACGCCGCGUGAGUGAUGAAGGCCUUCGGGUUGUAAAGCUCUGUCUUUUGGGACGAUAAUGACGGUACCAAAGGAGGAAGCCACGGCUAACUACGUGCCAGCAGCCGCGGUAAUACGUAGGUGGCAAGCGUUGUCCGGAUUUACUGGGCGUAAAGGAUGCGUAGGCUGGAUUUUUAAGUGAGAUGUGAAAUACCCGGGCUUAACUUGGGUGCUGCAUUUCAAACUGGGAAUCUAGAGUGCGGGAGAGGAGAAUGGAAUUCCUAGUGUAGCGGUGAAAUGCGUAGAGAUUAGGAAGAACACCAGUGGCGAAGGCGAUUCUCUGGACCGUAACUGACGCUGAGGCAUGAAAGCGUGGGUAGCAAACAGGAUUAGAUACCCUGGUAGUCCACGCCGUAAACGAUGAGUACUAGGUGUAGGAGGUAUCGACCCCUUCUGUGCCGCAGUUAACACAAUAAGUACUCCGCCUGGGAAGUACGAUCGCAAGAUUAAAACUCAAA
rnacentral:rRNA from 1 species